rnacentral:sRNA from 1 species
GCUGGGCGUGGUGGCACACGCCUAUAAUCCCAGUGACUUGGGAGGCUGAGGCAAGAGGAUUGCAAGUUCAAGGCCAGCCUCAGCAACUUAGUGAGGCCCUCAGCAUCAUAGCAAGACCCUGUCUCAA